UACAGAGGGAGCAAGCGUUAAUCGGAAUUACUGGGCGUAAAGCGUGCGUAGACGGUUACAUAAGUCAGAUGUGAAAGCCCCGGGCUCAACCUGGGAAUUGCAUUUGAGACUGCGUAGCUAGGGUGCGGAAGAGGGAAGCGGAAUUUCCGGUGUAGCGGUGAAAUGCGUAGAUAUCGGAAGGAACACCAGUGGCGAAAGCGGCUUCCUGGUCCAGCACCGACGUUCAGGCACGAAAGCGUGGGGAGCAAACAGG
rnacentral:rRNA from 1 species